AAAAUAUAAAACUUCAUACAAUAAGAUUUGAGGUUAAUAUUUAUUAAAUUUCCUUAAUUAUAAGCAAUCAUCUUGACUUACAAAAAGGUCAUUAUUCUGAUGCACAUUUAAUCCACAAACUAUACAACAUGAGCAUGUGUGUAUUAACCGGAGUGUCACAUCUACAACGACGAGCCUGAACACCUUUAAACCUUGCAUUAAAUUCAGCGUUGCAGUCACGUUGAGCAUGCAGACAAUCACCACUCAAUCCUGUAAGAACCUUAGGACAUUAUUUGAUAUUGGGUUCUGUACCUACAUGAACAACAUUAUAGAAAAAAAUGAUCAAAUAUAAUAAUAAUAAUAAUAAUAAUAAUAAUAAUAAUAAUAAUAAUAAUAAUAAUAAUAUCCCAGAUCCAUAGCUAAGAUUGAAGAGAGCAAUCAAAGCAGCAACAAUAGGAGAAUGCUUCCUAGCGUCAUGAUGUUAUUAACACACUCAGUAUUAUCAAAUAGAGCUUUCAAAAUGUUGGGACAAUGUAAGAGAA
rnacentral:lncRNA from 1 species